GGGUGGCUCAGUAGUAGAGUAUCUGUUUUGCAUGUAGAAUGUCCCAGGUUCAAGCCUUGGCAUAUCCA